AAGAUUUUAAGUUAAAAAAACUAUUAAUUUUCAAAAUUAAAAUUAAAAUUAUUUUAAAUCUUA
rnacentral:tRNA from 1 species